UACGAAGGGGGCUAGCGUUGCUCGGAAUCACUGGGCGUAAAGGGUGCGUAGGCGGGUCUUUAAGUCAGGGGUGAAAUCCUGGAGCUCAACUCCAGAACUGCCUUUGAUACUGAAGAUCUUGAGUUCGGGAGAGGUGAGUGGAACUGCGAGUGUAGAGGUGAAAUUCGUAGAUAUUCGCAAGAACACCAGUGGCGAAGGCGGCUCACUGGCCCGAUACCGACGCUGAGGCACGAAAGCGUGGGGAGCAAACAGG
rnacentral:rRNA from 1 species